rnacentral:rRNA from 1 species
ACGGCUCAGUAACACGUGGACAACCUACCCUUAGGUCGGGGAUAAACCCGGGAAACUGGGUAUAAUACCCGAUAGAUCUCGGCUGCUGGAAUGCAUCGAGAUCGAAAGCUCCGGCGCCUAAGGAUGGGUCUGCGGCCUAUCAGGUAGUAGUGGGUGUAGCGUACCUACUAGCCUACGACGGGUACGGGUUGUGAGAGCAAGAGCCCGGAGAUGGAUUCUGAGACACGAAUCCAGGCCCUACGGGGUGCAGCAGGCGCGAAAACUUUACAAUGCUGGAAACAGCGAUAAGGGGACCUCGAGUGCCAGGUUACAAAUCUGGCUGUCGUGAUGCCUAAAAAGCAUUGCAUAGCAAGGGCCGGGCAAGACCGGUGCCAGCCGCCGCGGUAACACCGGCGGCUCGAGUGGUAACCGUUAUUAUUGGGUCUAAAGGGUCUGUAGCCGGCCGGAUAAGUCUCUUGGGAAAUCCAGCAGCUCAACUGUUGGUCUUUCAGGAGAUACUGUCUGGCUCGAGGCCGGGAGAGGUGAGAGGUACUUCAGGGGUAGGGGUGAAAUCUUGUAAUCCUUGAAGGACCACCAGUGGCGAAGGCGUCUCACCAGAACGGACCUGACGGCAAGGGACGAAAGCUAGGGGCACGAACCGGAUUAGAUACCCGGGUAGUCCUAGCCGUAAACGAUACUCGCUAGGUGUCGGCCACGGUGCGACCGUUGUCGGUGCCGUAGGGAAGCCGUGAAGCGAGCCACCUGGGAAGUACGGCCGCAAGGCUGAAACUUAAAGGAAUUGGCGGGGGAGCAC